rnacentral:rRNA from 1 species
AUUGAACGCUGGCGGCAGGCCUAACACAUGCAAGUAGAGCGGAGCGGCGGACGGGUGAGUAAUGCCUCGGUAUCUGCCUGGCAGUGGGGGUUAACGUCCGGACACGGGCGCUAAUACCGCACAUCACUAGUUGAGCCUUGGUCGGAUUAGCUAGUUGGUGGGGUAAAGGCUUACCAAGGCGACGAUCCGUAACUGGUUUGAGAGGAUGAUCAGUCACACUGGAACUGAGCCACGGUCCAGACUCCUACGGAAGGCAGCAGUGGGGAAUAUUGGACAAUGGGCGAAAGCCUGAUCCAGCCAGGCCGCUUGUGUGAAGAAGGUCUUCGGAUUGUAAAGCACUUUAAGUUGGGAGGCGUUACCAACAGAAUAAGCACCGGCUAACUUCGUGCCAGCAGCCGCGGUAAUAC